rnacentral:rRNA from 1 species
AUGAGUUCUAUGCUAUAUUCUGAUGUUUUCAUAUACUAUAAUAGCUUUAGUGAUUUAUAUGACCACACAAUGUUGGCUAAAACAGUACAAAUUGGCUUUUUAAAAGAGGAACAAAUGAUCGUCAAUGGUGCACUAAACCAUGAGAGUGCGGCGCCUUCUGUGUUGUGGACAUGGCAUGGGCUGUCUUCUGUGAGUGCCUCUGUAACGUUUGUUAUUUUGCCUAACUUUCUGAAGUUAAACCAUCCUUUCACAAAGUUCUAUCUCCUUGUUGAAACAAAGGUCCACUGCUGUGUUCUUGCUGCCAUUCCGCGGUAUAUUGGAGUGUUUCAUCCUAAUAUAUGUCUGGUUACAUGA